rnacentral:rRNA from 1 species
AUUGAACGCUGGCGGCAGGCCUAACACAUGCAAGUCGAGCGGAUGAAGGGAGCUUGCUCCUGGAUUCAGCGGCGGACGGGUGAGUAAUGCCUAGGAAUCUGCCUGGUAGUGGGGGAUAACGUCCGGAAACGGGCGCUAAUACCGCAUACGUCCUGAGGGAGAAAGUGGGGGAUCUUCGGACCUCACGCUAUCAGAUGAGCCUAGGUCGGAUUAGCUAGUUGGUGGGGUAAAGGCCUACCAAGGCGACGAUCCGUAACUGGUCUGAGAGGAUGAUGAGUCACACUGGAACUGAGACACGGUACAGACUCCUACGGGAGGCAGCAGUGGGGAAGAUUGGACGAUGGGCGAAAGCCUGAUCCAGCCAUGCCGCGUGUGUGAAGAAGGUCUUCGGAUUGUAAAGCACUUUAAGUUGGGAGGAAGGGCAGUAAGUUAAUACCUUGCUGUUUUGACGGUACCAACAGAAUAAGCACCGGCUAACUUCGUG